AAAAAUUACGGGUAAGACGGGUGGGUACCCAUUAAGCUGUGGAUAUUUUGGAUAACCCGCGGGUACCCGCACAUAUAUUUUUUAAUUAAAAAAUAUAUUUUCUUAAUUAAAAUACAUAUAUUUGUUUUUAUCCAUUCUAAAAAUUAUAAUCCUAAUUUCUUAUCGCGUCUUUUAUAUUACAAAAUUUUUUUGUUUUAAGAUUUUAAAUAUUUUUAUUGUAUGUUAUGAUAUUUUAAAUAAUGAAUUAUGUUAUAUUUUUAAAACUUAUAUGUAUGUAUUUGUAUUUAAAAAAUAUAAGAGAAAAAAAGAAAAAAAAUUGCGGGUAA
rnacentral:lncRNA from 1 species